rnacentral:rRNA from 1 species
AGAGACGACGCUGGCGGCGUGCCUAACACAUGCAAGUCGAGCGGAGAUACAUUGAAGAUUUAUCGGAUAUGUAUCUUAGCGGCGGACGGGUGAGUAACGCGUGGGUAACCUGCCUUAUACAGGGGGAUAACACAGGGAAACUUGUGCUAAUACCGCAUAAUAUCAUUGUAUGGCAUCAUGUGAUGAUCAAAGGAGCAAUCCGGUAUAAGAUGGACCCGCGUCCAAUUAGCUAGUUGGUGGUGUAACGGACCACCAAGGCGACGAUUGGUAGCCGAACUGAGAGGUUGAUCGGCCACAUUGGGACUGAGACACGGCCCAGACUCCUACGGGAGGCAGCAGUGGGGAAUAUUGCACAAUGGGGGAAACCCUGAUGCAGCAACGCCGCGUGAAGGAUGAAGGUUUUCGGAUCGUAAACUUCUUUGAUGAGGGACGAAUAAUGACGGUACCUCAAGAACAAGCCACGGCUAACUACGUG